rnacentral:lncRNA from 1 species
AUCGGAUCACAAAUCCAUGAUUGCUAUGAGCACUAUGAGCUGAAAAAAUAUGCAAAGUUGUUCAGCUGCGACGGCUGCAAGAUGAAAGGGUUCGGAGAAAGGUACGUGUGCAAUCUCUGUGGUCACGAACUGCACAAGGAGUGUAGGCACCCCACAUCUGAAGUUUCCCACGAGAAUUUUGGUGGCUCCAUCUUCACAUUUCUCGAUAAGCCAUUCACCAGAUUGGGUAAAAAGGAUCGCAGAGAGUUUUCAAAGUGCUGCGAUGCAUGUGGAAAGGACAUAUGCGGUUUUAACUACCACUGUGAAGAAGACAACUUGGAUUUACACCCGUGUUGUCGAAAACUUGAAAAGAAACUAGUGAUUGAUGGUACGAUAUUUGAUCUCGAGACAAAGGUUUCAUCAAAGUGUGGAAAGUGCGGGAAGAAGAAGAUUUCUCGUGACGAGAAAAAUGUUCUGGGAUGGUCUUAUGUUUCCCAGUGCAAAAAGUAUCAUUUUCAUGUGUAUUGUAUAACUGAAAUGGUACAAGAGGCUUCCAUGAGGCAUGGGAACUUGGCGUUGGAGAUUAUGGAUUUAAGAGAAUUGGUUAGAUAUAAUAGAAACAGAGGGGGUAGAAACACCUUCCUCACGAAGAUCAAAUCGUUUAUCAAAAUUCUAUUAUCUGUUCUUCUAGGCGAUCCAACUAUGCUGAUUUCCAAUGUCGCCGUGGAGCUGAUCUCGCUUGGCAUUCAACAAUAGUGUUUUUUCCUUCCU